UACGUAGGGUGCAAGCGUUAAUCGGAAUUACUGGGCGUAAAGCGUGCGCAGGCGGUGAUGUAAGACAGGUGUGAAAUCCCCGGGCUUAACCUGGGAACUGCAUUUGUGACUGCAUCGCUGGAGUGCGGCAGAGGGGGGUGGAAUUCCGCGUGUAGCAGUGAAAUGCGUAGAGAUGCGGAGGAACACCGAGUGGAGCGAACCGGUGCCAGCCCCCUGG
rnacentral:rRNA from 1 species